CUCGCAAACGUAGCAAAUAAAAUGCAAAAGAUGCCAAAUAAAAAAUGACAUUUGGAUACAAAUCGAAAUCGGAAGGCGGGUUGGGAAAAGGAAGUACGAAGAGAACUUAAAUUGAAUACUUAAUGGCAGUCAACUGCUGCUCAUCCGUCUUGGAAGUUAGGGUGGAUUCUAAUUCGGUACAUUUGUGGUUAGAACAUAUUUUUAUAAUCAAAAAUAAUAUUUUUACCUGGACUAACUUAUAUUUUGUUAAAUUAAAAAGCUAGGUUUGAGAUUUAUAGAUAUACUUUAAUAACGUUACAAUAUUAUUAGUUAUAAAGGUAGAACAGGAUCAAUAACUAAGUCAAGUAAUUUGACUACCAAAUAGAAGUUGCACCUAAAGAAGCAAACAAAAAUAUACGUAGUUUUGCCAUAAUUCAUUUUGCUGUCUUUUAUGCUUUGUUGAACUAAAAACAAAACUUCACCCUUUAAUUAAAUUUUGACCCAUUUUUCCCAAAUUUUAUAAAACAAAAUUGGAACAUGUUUUUAAAAUCUAAAACAGUUAGCGCCGUUCAGCAAAUUUGCUCUAUUCUAUUCUUAUUCUAAAAACAGCGUAAAGAAAAAGUUGUGCCAAAAAGUAGUACAUACUUUUUAAAGACUCCGCUCUACCAUAUGAGUAACUUAUAUAAUAAAAGUUAUAAAAUCAAUAAAGUAUCUAAAAUUGAUAUUUACUGAUUUCUUUUUACGGACCUCUAACUGUUAACACUUGUCCGGAAAUUAUUCAUUAUGUGCAACGUCUCAAGUAAACGUGGCUUUCGGUCAUUAUGGCGGGGCACAGAGUAAAGAACGAAAAUAAAAAGUAAAAAACCCUGAGAAAACUUGCGCAUUUUUUCCAGGAGUCCAUUGUGCUUGGUCAAGACGGCGAGGUGCAGAACGAAACGAAGAAAAAACCAUCCAGGCGAACUGUUGUUCAAAGUCAAGGCAAAAUCUUAAAGUAAUAAAGUAGCCACCAUCGCGAGGUCAGCGCCGGGCCGGACCUGGUCCGAAGUGUGAAUGACCUUAAAAUGACCCGCUUUCCGUCUCUUGCUGCCCUUCUGCGAUUUAACUUCCGCGUUGUAGUCCACCCUCUGCCGCUUAGGACUUGGCCUUGACUUGAAUUAAAUUAAACUUUCUUUUGGUCUAUUUAUAAAAUUCUUACUUGCUAUUACUUGAUUUUUCAACCGUUGCCUUUCCCAUUCGCAAGUGCUUUUCGAUGGGUUGCAUUGCCAUUGUCAAACCCUUUCCUUUUGACUGUCAUUGCUGGAAGUGGGACUCUCUUCUUUUAAAUAGAGUACUCUCCUUUUAAAAUAACCCUUUGUGAGACCUGGUGCUCGAUGAACGAUGCCUGAGUAGCUCUUCAAAGUAGAGUUCUGACCAGCUUUAAUUAACCACAUUUCCAUUCUCUCUUUUGUUCAAAUAUUUUUUUUCGUGUAUGUCAACUCGAUGAGCCCGUUCUUAAACAUGUAUACCUUAACUAAAACCACCUUGUCGAAUACGCAAUUUGUCAUACGUCCCGUUUACUCCCUCCCUCCUAGAAACAUAUCAGCCAUUUCAGUCAAUCGCAUGCAAGAAUUUGAACGCAGUGCACUACAAUAUAGUAUAUAGGGAAAGUAAGGAGGUGAAGGUGCAAGUACAUAAAUUUUCACUCGUAUGUAUUAUUUCGUGUUCUAAAUAAACCUAAACAUGUUUCCAAGCAGAAUUCAUUCGUUUCCCAUUCGUCGUUUUGCUGGGAGACCCAACUACACAUCAAGUUAAAAACGAAUGGAUGAGAGUUAAAAUGAGCCAAACACACAUACACAGGGCAAGUGAGCAUAAGUACGCAACGAGCACAGAGAAUAAAUCACACGAUGCGAAUGGAACGAAACGAAACCGAAGCACACUGCUACAUACAUUCACUCUUUCACCAGGCAGCCUCUGGCCCACCGCCUAACACCCAUUCCACCCAUUCCCCCAUUUUAGCCUUCUAGUACAAGCAGAGACGACGACGUCGCUUAAAAAUCCCACAACAGUAGAAAGUGCGGGGCCGAUGGAGGUUGGCCGCUGAAAAUGGUGCGGGACGGUGGGAAGGCAGAGACACACAACCAGAGACAUGCAGACGACAAAAAAGGCGGAGUCUAAAAACUGGGGAGCAAAACAACAACAACAACAGCGCCAGCGUCAACUGAAAAAGGAAAUAAAAAUCAUUGCUCGCUCUUUCUCUCGGUUGGAGCUUGGAACGAAAAAAGCGUGGAGCAAAAAAAAAUAUUAAGCGAAUACCAAGUAAAAGCCGAGCUGCGCAGCGGGCAGCGCUGCUGGCGCCUCAGUUGCAGUCGACGUCAACGCAGCGUGUAUGACGAAUACAACUCGCAUUGCACACUCUCAUACGUGAAAGCUGGAAAGGAGUCGAAACGGGAAGGAGCCGGAAGGGGAGCUCGGAUCCGGGGAGGGGACGGAGAUGAUGGCGAUGCCUGAUUCGUACAUGGGAGGGAUUGGGGAGCACGGGUGGACAAGCCAUGCACCGAUAAAUGACGGAUAGGAAAGCACACCAAUACGGCCAGCGACUUUCACAAAGUGACUUGAAGGAUAAUUUUAUAUGAACAUCCUUUUUAGUUAACCCUUUGGAAAGAUGGUUCUUAAAUCAAAGACCACUUGAUGCAGGCAUGCUAAUCAGUAUUCAAUAUUCAUUUUGCGACAACAAUCGAGAAAUUUUUGAGGAGUUUUUGAGGACCACAAAGCUAGAGAAUAUAAAAGUACAUUGUAUUAUAAUGAUCUUAGCAAGCUCAAAAGUUAGUUCAUCUUUAAACGAUUUAGGGAAACUACCUUCACAAGACCUAGCUUAAGCCACCAUGUCAUUAUCAGUAUAACCAGAAUUGCGAACAUAAAUAAAAAAAAUCAUAUGCAGAACU